rnacentral:rRNA from 1 species
ACCAGGAACCGUACCCCAAACCGACACAGGUGGUCGGGUAGAGAAUACCAAGGCGCUUGAGAGAACUCGGGUGAAGGAACUAGGCAAAAUGGCACCGUAACUUCGGGAGAAGGUGCGCCGGCUAGGGUGAAGGAUUUACUCCGUAAGCCCUGGCUGGUCGAAGAUACCAGGCCGCUGCGACUGUUUAUUAAAAACACAGCACUCUGCAAACACGAAAGUGGACGUAUAGGGUGUGACGCCUGCCCGGUGCCGGAAGGUUAAUUGAUGGGGUUAGCGCAAGCGAAGCUCUUGAUCGAAGCCCCGGUAAACGGCGGCCGUAACUAUAACGGUCCUAAGGUAGCGAAAUUCCUUGUCGGGUAAGUUCCGACCUGCACGAAUGGCGUAACGAUGGCGGCGCUGUCUCCACCCGAGACUCAGUGAAAUUGAAAUCGCUGUGAAGAUGCAGUGUAUCCGCGGCUAGACGGAAAGACCCCGUGAACCUUUACUGUAGCUUUGCACUGGACUUUGAGCCUGCUUGUGUAGGAUAGGUGGGAGGCUUUGAAGCGUGGACGCCAGUUCGCGUGGAGCCAUCCUUGAAAUACCACCCUGGCAUGCUUGAGGUUCUAACUCUGGUCCGUGAUCCGGAUCGAGGACAGUGUAUGGUGGGCAGUUUGACUGGGGCGGUCUCCUCCUAAAGAGUAACGGAGGAGUACGAAGGUGCGCUCAGACCGGUCGGAAAUCGGUCGUAGAGUAUAAAGGCAAAAGCGCGCUUGACUGCGAGACAGACACGUCGAGCAGGUACGAAAGUAGGUCUUAGUGAUCCGGUGGUUCUGUAUGGAAGGGCCAUCGCUCAACGGAUAAAAGGUACUCCGGGGAUAACAGGCUGAUACCGCCCAAGAGUUCAUAUCGACGGCGGUGUUUGGCACCUCGAUGUCGGCUCAUCACAUCCUGGGGCUGAAGCCGGUCCCAAGGGUAUGGCUGUUCGCCAUUUAAAGUGGUACGCGAGCUGGGUUUAGAACGUCGUGAGACAGUUCGGUCCCUAUCUGCCGUGGACGUUUGAGAUUUGAGAGGGGCUGCUCCUAGUACGAGAGGACCGGAGUGGACGAACCUCUGGUGUUCCGGUUGUCACGCCAGUGGCAUUGCCGGGUAGCUAUGUUCGGAAAAGAUAACCGCUGAAAGCAUCUAAGCGGGAAACUUGCCUCAAGAUGAGAUCUCACUGGGAACUUGAUUCCCCUGAAGGGCCGUCGAAGACUACGACGUUGAUAGGCUGGGUGUGUAAGCGUUGUGAGGCGUUGAGCUAACCAGUACUAAUUGCCCGUGAGGCUUGACCAU